rnacentral:rRNA from 1 species
GACGAACGCUGGCGGCGUGCUUAACACAUGCAAGUCGAACGGAAAGGCCCUGCUUUUGUGGGGUGCUCGAGUGGCGAACGGGUGAGUAACACGUGAGUAACCUGCCCUUGACUUUGGGAUAACUUCAGGAAACUGGGGCUAAUACCGGAUAGGAGCUCCUGCUGCAUGGUGGGGGUUGGAAAGUUUCGGCGGUUGGGGAUGGACUCGCGGCUUAUCAGCUUGUUGGGGGGGUGGUGGCUUACCAAGGCUUUGACGGGUAGCCGGCCUGAGAGGGUGACCGGCCACAUUGGGACUGAGAUACGGCCCAGACUCCUACGGGAGGCAGCAGUGGGGAAUAUUGCACAAUGGGCGGAAGCCUGAUGCAGCAACGCCGCGUGCGGGAUGACGGCCUUCGGGUUGUAAACCGCUUUCGCCUGUGACGAAGCGUGAGUGACGGUAAUGGGUAAAGAAGCACCGGCUAACUACGUG